rnacentral:rRNA from 1 species
GAUGAACGCUGGCGGCGUGCCUAAUACAUGCAAGUCGAGCGAACGGACGAGAAGCUUUUUUCUCUGACGUUAGCGGCGGACGUGUGAGUAACACGUGUAUAACCUACCUAUAAGACUGGGAUAACUUCGGGACACCGGCUCUUAUACCGGAUGAUAUUUUGAACCGCAUGGUUCAAACGUGAAAGGCGGUUUUGCUGUCACUUAUAGAUGGAUCCGCGAUGCAUUAGCUAGUUGGUAAGGUAACGGCUUACAAAGGCAACGAUGCGUAGCCGACCUGUGAGGGUGAUCGGCCGCCCUGGAAGUGUAAAGCGCUCCUUGAUGCUACGGGACGCAGCAGUAGGGAAGCUGCCGCAAAUGGGGAGAGCCUGACGGAGCGACGCGGUGUCAGGGAUGACGCUGUUCGGGGCGUGAAUCUCUGUUAUUAGGGUGGAACAGCUUUGGCAGUGCCUGAGGAUUGCGUGACGGUACCUGAUCAGGAAGCCACGGCUAACUACGUG